UGAGGAAUAUUGGUCAAUGGGGCGAGAGCCUGAACCAGCCAAGUCGCGUGAAGGAUGAAGGUUCUAUGGAUUGUAAACUUCUUUUAUUCGAGGGUAAAGUGAGGUACGUGUACCUUAUUGCAAGUAUCGAAUGAAUAAGCAUCGGCUAACUCCGUGCCAGCAGCCGCGGUAAUACGGAGGAUGCGAGCGUUAUCCGGAUUUAUUGGGUUUAAAGGGUGCGUAGGCGGAUUAUUAAGUCAGCGGUGAAAGCGUGUGGCUCAACCAUACAAUUGCCGUUGAUACUGUCAGGCUUGAAUGCGGAUGCCGUGGGAGGAAUGUGUGGUGUAGCGGUGAAAUGCAUAGAUAUCACACAGAACACCGAUUGCGAAGGCAUCUCACGAAUCCGCGAUUGACGCUGAGGCACGAAAGUGCGGGGAGCAAACA
rnacentral:rRNA from 1 species